rnacentral:rRNA from 1 species
GACGUAGGGGGCGAGCGUUGUUCGGAUUCAUUGGGCGUAAAGGGCGCGUAGGCGGCCACCGCAAGUCGGUUGUGAAAUCUCUGGGCUUAACCCAGAAAGGUCAACCGAUACUGCGGGGCUAGAGUGCAGAAGGGGCAACUGGAAUUCUCGGUGUAGCGGUGAAAUGCGUAGAUAUCGUAAGGAAGACCAGUGGCGAAGGCGGGUCUCUGGACAGUUCCUGACGCUGAGGCACGAAGGCCAGGGGGAGCAAACGGG